GGGGGAAUAUUGCACAAUGGAGGGAACUUUGAUGCAGCGAGGCCGCGGGAGUGAGGAAGGAAUUCGUUUCGAAAAACUCUGUUCGAUGGGAAGAAAAGGACUGUACCAUAGGAGAAAGCUCCGGCUAAAAACGGGCCAGAAGCCGCGGUAAUACGUAUGGAGCGAGCGUUGUCCGGAAUUAUUGGGCGUAAAGGGUGCGCAGGCGGCUUUACAAGUUGGAUGUGAAAUAUUGUGGCUCAACCACAAACGUGCAUCCAAAACUGCAAAGCUUGAGUUAAGGAGAGGUAAGUGGAAUUCCUGGUGUAGCGGUGGAAUGCGUAGAUAUCAGGAGGAAUACCGGUGGCGAAGGCGACUUACUGGACUUAAACUGACGCUCAGGCACGAAAGCGUGGGGAGCAAACAGG
rnacentral:rRNA from 1 species